rnacentral:rRNA from 1 species
CGGACGGGUGAGUAACGCGUGAGUAACCUGCCCUGCAGUGGGGAAUAACAGCUGGAAACAGCUGCUAAUACCGCAUAAUGCAGUUGGGCCGCAUGGCUCUGACUGCCAAAGAUUUAUCGCUCUGGGAUGGACUCGCGUCUGAUUAGCUAGUUGGCGGGGUAACGGCCCACCAAGGCGACGAUCAGUAGCCGGACUGAGAGGUUGGCCGGCCACAUUGGGACUGAGACACGGCCCAGACUCCUACGGGAGGCAGCAGUGGGGAAUAUUGGGCAAUGGGCGCAAGCCUGACCCAGCAACGCCGCGUGAAGGAAGAAGGCUUUCGGGUUGUAAACUUCUUUUCUCAGGGACGAAGCAAGUGACGGUACCUGAGGAAUAAGCCACGGCUAACUACGUGCCAGCAGCCGCGGUAAUACGUAGGUGGCAAGCGUUAUCCGGAUUUACUGGGUGUAAAGGGCGUGUAGGCGGGACUGCAAGUCAGAUGUGAAAACCACGGGCUCAACCUGUGGCCUGCAUUUGAAACUGUAGUUCUUGAGUACUGGAGAGGCAGACGGAAUUCCUAGUGUAGCGGUGAAAUGCGUAGAUAUUAGGAGGAACACCAGUGGCGAAGGCGGUCUGCUGGACAGCAACUGACGCUGAGGCGCGAAAGCGUGGGGAGCAAACAGGAU